GCAGACUGCAAACAAUUUUGAC
rnacentral:miRNA from 1 species